rnacentral:rRNA from 1 species
ACACGACUACAUUAGAUACCCGUGUAGUCCCAGCCGUAAACUAUGCGCGUUAGGUGUACUGGUGACCACGAGUCACCGGGGUGCCGAAGGGAAACCGUGAAACGUGCCGCCUGGGAAGUACGGUCGCAAGGCUGAAACUUAAAGGAAUUGGCGGGGGAGCACCGCAACGGGAGGAGCGUGCGGUUUAAUUGGAUUCAACACCGGAAAACUCACCAAGGGCGACUGUUACAUGAAAGCCAGGCUAAUGACCUUGCUUGAUUUUCAG